UGCAGGAAUUAGUGAAAGUUACACGUCAAACUGAUGCAAGCGACAUUAUUAACCCAAGUAACAAAGUGAAUAAUAAAGAACCAACAAACAUAUAUAUAUAUAUAUAUAAAAAAAAAAAAUAAUAAUCUGGAAAUGAACAAAAAUAAAUCAUGGAAAUGGUUCCAGUAGGCAGAAUUGCAGAUUUGACAAUGUAAGGGGCGGUUGGCUGUCUGGGAGAAUAAUUGACAGUUUUGGCUCAGGAAGUAGGUCAUACUAUUAAACAUCUUGAAUGAAUGAUCUCUCAUAAUACAGCAGCUCUAUGCAAUGCAAAACAUACCUAUAAAGUGGGUGUCUAUCAAACAUUUUAUAAAGGAUUAAUAGUUGCACAAGAGUACCAUGGCUUCCAAGAUCAGACUUAACGAAACGACAAAAACGAUAGUUAACCAGGGUUCCUGUUCCUGUAUUAAGCCCUCUGGCAGUCAAGAUGUUUAAACAGCAAGUCUAAGACUUUUUUUAUCAUCAUCUACCAUCUCACUAAUCGAAAUAACCUUUACAGGUGCUCCUGAACAUCUGAAUACAGUGUAUAAUAUGAUCUAUACACCAUCUUUAACUGCCAUUCGAGUAUAUUUUACUGGUUGUACCCUGCUUGAUAGUGAUGAAUUUCACGGUUAUGCGAUCUAUAAAAAAAUAUCUAUUAAAAAAUAUCCAUUAUUAAACCUACAGCAAACAUUACAACAGGUUAAAGCAAAAUAAUUUACUCCUUGUAUAUUUGGUGCUUGUACACUGAAAUCUCCAAUAUUAUUUGAGAUACAUAAAUGUAUAGCAUGUGUAUUAUAUAUUAUCAUACCCCCACACAUAUAUACAUGCCUUUCACUUCCACAAAUAAACAGAAUAUCAAUAUAUAUUUUUUUUUUCUGAGCACAGCCACAAGAUAGUUUGCACCCUGUACAAAUUGCAACAUUCGACUGGUCAGCAAUACUGGCGUUUCAGGACAGAAUAUCCUACUUUAGUGUGGGAGCAAGGCUUAAACAGCAACUCUAUCACAAAAAUGCAUAGCACCAAAAGAGGUUAAAAAAACAACCCAAAACUAAACAUAACCAUUAUAAAAUUAACAUGACCUUGUUUUGCUCCAUUUCCCCCCUCCUUUUUAGCCACCAAUUUCAAUUCUGUUUAAUGUUGGUUUAAUAAAAAGUGUCAGCAUAUUGCAGUAAAUGAGCAAUCUUCUGGACGUGUAAAGAAUAAACACAGUUAUUCAUUGAAGUGUGAACUUUCGAGAAUUCAAUGUGAAUUUCAAAUUUUAGACCAAAAUAGCUGAACUGGAAAAUUCUCCAAGUCCGCUAUGCUUUCAAUUUUGCGGUAAAAUUCUAAACAGACUUUGAAUAUCGGACAAUUCACACUUUAGUCAAUAUCCCUGUACGAGAGAGAUGUAUAAAACCAUUCUAAGUGUGAGUCACUUUGUCCACUUACCGCCUCAGCACUUGAUUUAGUUUCACAUAUUACAGACAUCAUUUAGAAAUCUCUACAUAUAAUCAAGGUAUAGGUUGGUUAAUUGUGGGAUAAAUAUAAAACAGGAGAGAAUAUCUGAGUAUUUCAUCAAAAAGACAUUUCACUUUCGCUAGUCUCCAAAUUUGUCUGGAGGUAUAUAUGUUAUUAACUUAUUAGUACUAACUUUAUUGACCUCGCAACAAAAGGAUGAGUUGAUCUUUAAGGGAAUCAAACUUGUGACUCACAUACUGCGUCUUUCUACUAAAAAAAAUUUGGCCCUAAAAGUUUUCCAACCCCUGCACUCCAAUACAAAUCAACAAGAACAAGUAUUGUCUUUAUUGCAAUCAUUCCAACCAAAAUGAACAAAGAUAAAUGGAAACCGCAGCAAUGAGACUUGAUAUGUUGGUGAAAAGCUGCAACAAUAUUCUUAGUCAUGGUGUUAUUUUUGGUGCUUUGGAAUUGCAACUUUGUUUAUACAUCUCAUCUCAAAUAACUUCUAUAGCCUGACAUUAUAUACAAUACAGACUGGGGAAAUGUUAAAAUAUGAACCAUUGAAUCACACAGCUGGUAUUAUUCUACCUACCCCCCACCCUCCCAACACCUCUCCCCGAAUGGUAGAUUAUUUUUCUGUCCAUGUUAUUAAAGAUAACAAAGAUAUAGUGCAGCUUGUCACUAGACAGAUUGUGUUACAUACUAUUUAUUAAGACGCAACCUAACAUACAAGAUAGGCACACACAGCAGACUCCAUCCGUCAGAGUGCUUAAAUGAUAGAUGAGACCAAAAAAAAAACCAUGAAAGCUAGCAGCAUAUCUUCUUCAGUAAUCAUCUGUCUGGCACAAGCUUUUUAAAUUUUUUAUAUUUUUAGGAAACACAUAACGAGUGAAAGCCAGAUCCUGCUGACCUCUAUGAAACCAAUGCAUUCUGGAGAUCUAAAACAUGUUAAAGAUAAUCCACUGUUCUGUUCGUAUACACAGCCAGGUGGAAAUAUUUGAUCUCCAAUGAUUGGUACUAUGAAAAUUAUAAACAAGUAAAUGAACGAAAGCACCCCUCUUCUAAAACACAAAAACUAAUAUACACUAUCAAGAUAACAGUCAGCGAAAUAAUACCCAAGCACGAACAGACACCAGGCGCCAAAUCACGAGAAGGACAUUAAUUCUCACCAAUAGUGAGUAUAGUUAUCCCCAAACCCUUAAAAUCCAUUGGAUACUGCACUGCCUGGUGAAUUAUCCCAUUAAAGCUUUUGAUCACUACUAUACGGUUGUCUCUUAAGGCACACUGCAGCAGUGCAACAGGGAAUGUUGUAUGAUAAGCUCAUAUUCUAGGGCACAGAAGGCAGAAUAUUUUGAUCAAGAACAUGUGAUUGUGUUCACGUCAACUCCCAUGGUGUCAUGGUAUUUCUGAUAGGGUAACCCACAUUGUGGGCACACUCUGAACAAGCAGAUAACUAAAUUGUCUGAUUUGCCACAAUGAUGUAAUGCCAAAUCAUAAAAGUUUUAAGGGGAAAAAAAAAUUACAUUAAAGAGGGACUCAGCAGCACAGCCAGGAUAGUUCAGUUUGGUGGUUAUAAUGCCAAGACAUUUUUGGUUCAUUUCCCCAUUUUUUUGUCAAACCCUUUUAGAUGUUUAGGGGUGACUUAUCCCAGCCCUUGAAGCUUAUCAUUGCUUUCCAAAUUUUGACUGAUAAUGUAGAGGUGCAAUUCUUCAUCACUGCAUGAGGACGUGAUGGUGAUUUUUAUUUUUUGGUCAUAUCACCUGAAGAUGGGAACUGCACCCAAAUGCUUCUUAUAGCAUAAAAACUACAUUGAGCUGCAGUACGGUGCUUAAGGUGUAAAUUUAAUACGAAUACAUUUUACAAGAGUAUAUUAAAAUAUUUAUGUUAACAUUUCCUUGGACUUGUGCAACUGACUUCUGUAGAAGAAGAAAAAAAAUUAAAUAUAUUUUCUGUGUGGCACUUUUAAUUUUUACUUUAAAAUGGUGGGUGUCUUGCAGCAUAACUUCUUCACACAAGGUGAAAACAAAAAUAUCUCAAGGAUGUGUUCAUUAGGAUUUCACCUUCAAAUGCUAUUUUCAGUUUACACAGAAUACAAGCAUGUUAGAUGAAUCAUAUUUAUUAACUACACAUUUACUACACUGCAACGGACUAUAGUUGCAAAUCACAAAUUGAUGUGCUAGGUUCUAUGCAAUUUUCUAUCCUAUGGUAUGACUGGAGGCAGAAGCAGUGUAACGUAAAAACGUUCUGAAACAGUUUGAUAACCUACAGGUGGUGUUACUGGUUUUACGACUGCAAGGAUCCCUACAUUUUAAAAAAAAUUGUAACCGAAGCUAGAGGGGCAGUGAAGAGGAAACAUUUUUAAAAUAAGGCUGUAGAGAUUGAUCACAUUCAAAUCAACUGAAGGCUAUCCCCUAGAUUGUUACAACUUGCAGAAUUCUAUAGGCAGGUCCCCAUAACAUUUGCAAAUAUUAAUGCAUAUCAGGAUGCUAUAUAACAAACAACCACCCCCACAUACAAUUUUGGUUGCCAACAGAAUGAUUAAAGAGAUAGUAUUGAAAUAAAAAAAUAAAUAAAUGUUUGGGCUGAUUAUAAAUGUAGAGGCCGCUGUAUCACAAGAAAAUAUCCCCAAAACUACUUCCCACAAAACUCAACACCUUAACCUUAUUAGCUAUGUGUUGAUAUUUUCUUAAGCUAAACUAAAUGUUUUUAUUAAUAUUGGCCAUAAACACUAGAAAAACGUAAGUAUGGCAAAACAAUAUCAGCCAUGUAAAUUUGAUGUUCUAAAACUGCAUAGCAGACACUUUGUGGCACAGAUAAGCUUCUUGUUCACUGGAAGCAAAGCAAAGGCAUGCAACGACUACACGGACUGAUCUUCAUGUAUGUUUGAACUGUAAUUGUAUAAAUAAGGCAGCUUUCUUAUUAAAAAAAGAAAUGUGAGCACCCUCUCAAUAAACUCACGUACCCACUGACAGCUGCUAGCACCAUAGUUACAGUAAACAUUACAAGAGUGCUUUGUUGCAAAGAUUCAAGGGACACACAACAUCAGCAGCAAUAUUGAAUCUAAUACUCAGUAAACAUACUCCAUAUUCAUUAAGGUACAAUGUCUAGAAAUAAAAUAUGAGAUACAUGAUAUAUAUGUUAAUUAUGUUAAAUACAAUACAAAGCAACAGCAGCCACAAGAAUACUUUAUACAAACUCACAACUACUGGUGGAGAAUACCGGAAUUUUGAAAAAAACAUUUAUUUUUUACAUAAAAUAUGUAUUUAAAUCAGGGCAUCUACCUGUUAGGCAGCCGUGAUUGAAAUCAUUCAGGUUCUGCAGCAAUGAGGGUAGUAUGUGACACCAGAUAUUUGGUACAUACAGCAUCUUAGGAAAGUAAAAGUUAGUUCAAUGUGCAGUUCUACAAUGUCUGCACACUCCGUUUCCCAUGCAAAUGGAAUGUAAAUCCUGACUAUCAACAACAUACAAUUAUGGAAAGUAGACAAGCUGUUUAGGGGAAUUAAAACGCAUAAAUAUAGCAUCUGAAAAACAGUUGCUACUCAUCAUGAUCACAAUGGUUUCUGAUCUGACAUAACAUCACAGAAAACUAUUUUUCAUUUGUUAGACUUUCUCCCCUCUUGCCCUUUUUGGCUUGCCUAAAAUAUUACAAGUAAAGCGACAUACCUCUGCAUACAAAACAUGCUAUUCUUAAAAGAUUAAUUCAAAACGGUUUGAACACAGCAAUAACAAAAUGGUUUUGUUAUUCACGGGAUUUGUGGUUUUUAGUUACUCCGUAGCAAAUGGACAUCGGAGUAUCAACUUUAGGUCAAUGUAGAAUUGGAAAAUAAAAAUCCAACUUUGCAGUCAACGUACCACUACGCACAUUUAAUGAAAAAAAUGAAUAGUGCACAGAUGUCUUAACCCCUAGGUUAAUCAAAACAAGUAUAUUUGGUACAGUAGGUCUCAAGCAACUGACCACAACUAAACCGCUUAGAGCACUUAACAUGCGCAACAAAAUUAUCGAAUAAAUGUUUUGCACAAAUUUAUUUAGCAUAUGUAGGCACUGAAUAUAUCAAGCUAAAAUUACAAGUGAAGAAUGACUUAUCGACUAUUGCCAUGUACAUCAAUUUGGGUUGGAUUUGGUAUUUCAAACAUCCAAAUACCUUUGAGCAUCACUGCAUUUGCAAUUGUUCUUUAUAUUACAUUACAAGUAUUUUGAUGUACUUGCUGCAUGUGACUAGCUCCUAACUCAAAACAAUUUAGAAUGGUAAUAUUAACAUAUAGCAACAACUGCUUUUGUAUGAUAUUUUUACAUAGUGUGUUUGGCUAUAUAGCUGCUACACUGCAUAAGUAGAGACUUCCAUUAAAUGCAAUUAAGAGGAACUGUAUCCUUUAAGUGGAUUGUUCCCCUUAUUUACCCAACAUUAAUGAAGCAUUUAAGGAGGAAGUGGAGAGCCAGGCCAAUUCUAAAAUACACUUACUCCAAAUCAUUGCCACUAUGUUCGGAUGCUCCAUAAGCAGGACAGGAAUCAAUUUCCCAUAAUUUCUCGAGGGUCAUGGACCACACAUGAAGUCAUACAGAAACAGGAUAUACAUCAGAUGUCAAGCUGUGCCUGAAACAUCUUGCAUUUGAUACAGAUGUAAAUAAGACCUAUAUAAAAUUCAAAACAUAACACUCGCUUAGAGUAAUAGCCUCCUAGUUCUAAAUAAUAGCACUGACUGAGUAACAAAGUAACACCUCAAAUGGAAACUUCAAGCAAAUAAGCCACAUGCUACUGUGACUCUAGCAAUGCUUUCAUUUUAACUGCACUCUUUGUGUAAAGAGGUGACAUUCAAUGUUUAUUUUAAUAUAGUGCCUGUAUUGGUAUUUUGAUUUAUUUUAAAAACCAUAGACAUUUUCAUUUGCCUUCAAAAGUUACACCGAAGGCAUACAGCAGCUAAAGGUUUGUUUUUCUCCCUUAAAACAGCUGCUGUCAGACACAUAUGUUUAAUUAUAACACCACCCACAUUGUUAUGGACUGUAGUGACAUUUUAUCAUAGGCGCUGCACAAAACUAAAAGUAUAACAGACCAGAAUAGCUCUUAGCAUUCAACAAGCAGCUUGAUUGAGAGAGAUAUAUAUAUAUAUAUAUAUAUAUAUAUAUACACACACACACACCGUUUGUCUAUGUUCAGUGGUAGAGACAACAGCAAAGAUGUAAAUUGUGUUCCACUUUCAUUCGAGCUUUUCACAAUCAUACAAUGCAAUUAAUUUCCUGACUUGUGACUGAUACUAUAUUGAGAUGAUUAGUAAAUAUACUGUGCAUUUCAUGGGCACAUUAUGAAGUUUAAACCACAGCAGACUGAAAUAGUGCAUCUGGUUGCUGUUGAUUAAAGCAUCACUACUGCAAUCACAGAAUUAUGUUUUAGGUGUACUCAUGAGAGACCAUUACAGCUGAUUAUCUUCCUGAGAGCUGUGUACAUCUCUUGGAAAUGUGGAUUAAGCAGUGACUGUUGUAGGCUGGAGAGACAAGGCUGGCAUACUUUUAAGAGAAGUUAUUACAAGACCUUUAGUACAAUAGCAGCAUGAAAUAUAAUGGCAUGUCUGUACCAACAACUGGAACGUAUGGUAAACUAAGCUGUAACAGUAACAUACAUUAUUAAAUUAACCCCAGGCAAGAAGUCAAAUCAUCCUAAAACGUCACUAGAAUACGAAGAGGCACCAUAACCACAGCAUUGAGCAGUGGUUAUGGUGUUUGUAGUGUUCCUUUAAGCUGACACGACGCAACUGACAGAACCAAUACGGCAAGUCAAACAUUAUACGAAACCUAGUAAGACAAGCAGCAUUUUAGAUUGACAUGACACUAAUAAUUUUUAAAUUUUUUGGUAGGAGUUUGGCACACUCACUAUCUCCAUCUUGUUAAUGCCCUGGUACAUAACUGAGCCAUAAUAUAAUUACCAGGAAACAACGCACACUGUCUUUUUAAAGCACAUCUUAAAGCUUUAUUUAAAAAAAAAAAAAAAAAAUCAACAGUGUCAACGUUUUAGUCCCAUGCUAGUCUUGAAAAAAGUCCAGCAUGGUACUGAAACGUUGCCAUUUGAUUAUUUUGGAAAAAUAAAGACUGAAUACUUGCUUUAAAAAGAGUACACACUCUUUUCUUUUGUAUAUAUAAAAAGAGAAAUGGUAAGCAGACAUCAAUCCACCACUAGGAUUUUGACCUCUAAACCCUGAAAACAAUCUAAAAAUGCUCUUUCAUUGACUUUUCAACUUGUGUAGUUUCUCUCAUUCUGCUGCUAGUCUGCUUCUAGAUUUUCUGGCAAGUAUUGUAACAAGUCUCAAAGAAGUUUGCACAGAAAGUGUUAACUUUUUUACUUUUAAGUUAUUCUUCAUUUAUAAAAGAAUUUAUAAGACCAAUUUGAUAUUGUGCUAUAAAGUGAUGGAUAUUGUGCAGAUUUUCUGUAUAAAAUUCUUCAGGACACAAAAAAAUAAAAGCUUAUUAAUCCAGUUACCUUGCAAAACCAGCUAAAUUACAGUUGUGUGUACUUAAAGAUGGUUUAUAUGCUUAUCAGAGCACAGAAAAUGUGCUUUUUUUAGUAUGAUGAUUAAGGAGUUUAACUAUCUGACAGAAUGCUUGGUUGCUCUUCAAACAUAUAUAUAUUUCAAACGUAUUGCAGCUAUUCAGAGUACACUUCAAGCGUGUCCACAGUAAGGUAUAACUGAUGGAGCACCAUACUAGUUGUGUUACGCAUAUGGCUUGAAUCCAGAGACAACUAGGUUAAAGUAAUUAGCCUGCUCUGACUGACCAGGAUGCAGCUAUAAGAUCAACUGACUGCACCCGGCAGAAUAUUUAAAAUGUUACUCCAAGCACCAUUGACCAUUUCAAUGAUUUUUUUAAAUUGACAGAGCCUGGAGUCUGAAUGUGCAGUUUUGCUGUGAAACGCCACAUGUCUAGUUUGUUUAACUCCUCUGCAGCGUCAUUGGGGCAUCAAGUUCUAAGCCUGCUAAUAUGGAUUCUGUGCAUAUUCCUAUGCAGAAUUUUAUUCAUUGGUUAAAAGCAGUGGACUGACUCAGCCAAUGAAUGGCCAGCAGGUUCAACUUCUGGCUUCUGCAGCUUUUAACUGUAUGUUGUCACUGACUAUAGAUAAGAGCAGAAGCUCAGCGGGGGCCCAGGAAAGAGGGCAAAUCAUUGUAAAACAGUUUGCCACAUUGAGGUAAAGGUGUUAAGAUCCACUGCUAAUUUUACUCCAAGCAUCAUACUUUUAUUGCAUCACAUAGAAUGCAGUUUCUAUGUGCUACAUUCACACUAUAAGAGAAUACAUGCAGUGUCAUAUGAAAUCAUUUCCCCCUCCUUGUACUGUGUAGGUUAGUAAACAAACUAUUAAAGUCAAAUGAUGCAUGACUGAUGCAGAGCAAAACCAUUAAGUGAAGAUUUAUUAGGGAUAAUAGGGGAGUCUAAGAAAUGGGUAUCUAGAAAUGUAUGAGGAUAGAGAAUAUAAAAGAAAUGGCCAUUUUAUGAAUAUAUGAAACAAUGUAUUUAGAGACAGCAUAUUAACUAUAGGUAAUGGGAGGAAGUUGUGAAGUGCCCUUUAAUGAGGUUUCCCUAGUAACUAAAGAUUUAAAAGUGAUGUACUCUAGUUUCCCCUACCCACAUAGCAUACACAUAAAUCCUUUGUUUUUCUGCAGCAGGCAGGCACACAUAUGGUUUACAAAGAAGUGUAAUCUUUUUUUCCCAACAACACACAAGUCCCACUAUUCACCACUCCAAAAAAAAUUGGUAAAUUUUUCGCAAUAGGAUAUUUAUUUCAGACACCCCUUCACUGGCAAGAAGCAGAGCCACAUUAAUAAGUUUUGGUUUGACAACAUGUUUAGAAGAAAUUUAAAAUGCAGCACAUGAUGUAUGCAUAAACCUAUAUUAAGUACAUACAUUAAUGUAUAUCAAGUCUUGCACAGAUCCUAUUACAACAGGCUAAUUCUUCUUUAGGAAAAUAUUAAAAACAUUUCAUACACCUUAACCAGUGGUUAUGGUGCCAGCAGAGUCUUGGUAGAACCCAUCGUAAGUAGUCAACCGUUUGCCACUGUUAUUACAACGUGCUUUGGUCUGUUCAAUACUGGUCACCUCCUCUACAAAAGCUGGAAGAUCUUUGAUUUGAGCAGAGCACAACGGUGCCGCAAUUAACUAAUGCUCUCAGCCAAUGAGCUGACUGUAUAAUCAGUUAACUAUGGGGAGCAUGUAGGAACUUCCAGCGUGCAGCAGACGCCAUGUAAAAAGUAAAAACUUUGUAAAACGGUUUGCACCAUAAUCACUGUAGUGCACUUUAGUGGAUAUGGUGCUUAGAGUGUUCCUUUAAGUGCAUCUCUCCAGUAAACUAUCAAACCUUAUUAACUUUAAUUGAAAACAAAGUGAAAAGUUUCUAUGUAGUCAAUACAGAAUGGUGACGAAUACAAAAACGUGUACAAAUGACCAACAGUUGUUCUGAAGAAUGUACCAUCAGUCAAUGCUUGGGCACUACAUUCUAAAUAACACCCUAUGGGGUUUAGAACAAUGUAACGUGUUCAGCUAGUUCAAAUAUUUCAGGGGGGAAUAUGCCUCUAGCAAGUGGUCAAAACUGACUUACACACAAAAAGCUUACAAUGUUGUGAGGUAUUAAAGAUCAAACAAUAUUUUUAAUACAUUGGCAGGAUCUUGCAGAUCCUAACAAAAUAUAAAGGUCAAUUUUAUUUAACAUUACAUCUUGCCAAAAUAUUUUGCUAGUGAUAAAGAAGUGAAUUAUGUCUUGCAGUGUGUGCGCGCGCGCAAGGAGGACAUAAUUCAUUGGCUACUUUUGAUAGAUUAUAUAGAUAAACUAGUGCAAGAGAUGAAAAGAGGAGAAUAUACCUAGGCACAGCAGGGGCAUCCCAAACAGAUCAUUGUAAACACUUAGAGCCCAUGGGCUGCCGUGCUCUUUGUAAGAUAUCGGUAAACCACACUUUAAUGCCCAUUGUUCUACAGUUAUCACUACAACAUUCUAUAUUUCAGCUACAUGUAAGAAUGCUGUGUAAGUAACAGGUACCAAGGAGUGUAAUACUACAUAGGAGCAGCGGCAAAAACAUUCUGAAUAAAGUUUGCCAUUUGUAUUUCCAUUCCAGAAUGGAAGGUAAAUAAUGGCAAACUGAAACAGAUGGCAUAUCCAUAAGAAAAAAAAAA